CACGUAGGGUGCGAGCGUUGUCCGGAAUUAUUGGGGCGUAAAAGAGCUCGUAGGCGGUGUGUCGCGUCGGCCGUGAAAACUUGCAGCUUAACUGUGGGCGUGCGGUCGAUACGGGGCAUCACUGGGAGUUCGGCAGGGGAGACUGGAAUUCCUGGAUGUAGCGGUGAAAUGACGCCAGAUAUCAGGAGGAACAGCCCGGUGGCGAAGGCGGGUCUCUGGGCCGAUGACUGACGG
rnacentral:rRNA from 1 species